rnacentral:rRNA from 1 species
AUCCUGGCUCAGGACGAACGCUGGCGGCGUGCCUAAUACAUGCAAGUCGAGCGGACAGAUGGGAGCUUGCUCCCUGAUGUUAGCGGCGGACGGGUGAGUAACACGUGGGUAACCUGCCUGUAAGACUGGGAUAACUCCGGGAAACCGGGGCUAAUACCGGAUGCUUGUUUGAACCGCAUGGUUCAAACAUAAAAGGUGGCUUCGGCUACCACUUACAGAUGGACCCGCGGCGCAUUAGCUAGUUGGUGAGGUAAUGGCUCACCAAGGCAACGAUGCGUAGCCGACCUGAGAGGGUGAUCGGCCACACUGGGACUGAGACACGGCCCAGACUCCUACGGGAGGCAGCAGUAGGGAAUCUUCCGCAAUGGACGAAAGUCUGACGGAGCAACGCCGCGUGAGUGAUGAAGGUUUUCGGAUCGUAAAGCUCUGUUGUUAGGGAAGAACAAGUGCCGUUCAAAUAGGGCGGCACCUUGACG